AGCGCAGGUGGAUGGUUAAGCCAGGUGUGAAACCUCUGGGCUCAACCCAGAGCCUGCACCUGAAACUGGCUAUCUGGAGUCCCGGAGAGGUAGGCGGAAUACCUGGUGUAGCGGUGAAAUGCGUAGAUAUCAGGUGGAACACCAAUGGCGAAGGCAGUUCACUGGGCAUUAUCUGACGCUGAGGCGCGAAAGCGUGGGAGCAAACA
rnacentral:rRNA from 1 species